GGCUCCAUAGCUAAGUGGUUAUAGCAUGAGAUUGCAGCUGUGACGUCACACAUGACGCUGCGAUUAUGUAAUCUCGGGGUCGCGUGUUCGAGUCACGCUGGGGUCU